UUCCCUCCUCCCGCCGCAGCCGGCUUCCCGGGUCCUUCACUCUGCGCUGACGGCUAAGGCCGACCUGGGCACACGCCCGGUGCCCGCGCGCGGGGUGCGUCGGGAGGCGUAGUUCUCGGAAACCCAGAGUCCAGUUCACAGGAGAGCCCUUUGUGAAGGAAGCACACUACAACUCCCAGGAAGCACCGCGCCUCCUGCGGCCUUGAAGCUCGCGGAGUAGACUGAGGGAGCGCGCAAAAGAACGCGCCGCGCUGGUGCCCUCGAGGCGCCUGCGCAGUUCCUGGUCUUGGGGGACUGGGUGGGACGUACACCUACCUCCGCUGCUCUUGGUUUGGUGGCAGCGCCGUGAGAGAGGACAUACCUUCCCUCUUGCACGCUCUGGCCAGUCUCUUCCUCAGCUACCGAAGAUCAGGCCUUUUGUGCCAGCGGCUUCAGUCGUCCUAACCAGUUAAACCAGCCUGGAAGGCCGGCCCAGCCUGCGCCUCGGGCACCUCCCAAAUCAGCUCCCUCAGAUCCGACCGGAGGUCUCUCCCUUGUACUCUGCAUUUUCUACCCAGUGAAGCCAGCCCCCUCCACCUGACCUUCAAGAGCCUCCCACCAUCAGACACCAAGAUACUGUCUUCUGACUGCAUGCAGAGCUUUCUGGUUUUCCCUCUGGCAACAAAAGUGUCAACAAAAGUGUCGCCUGGUUACUAAGGACGAAUUUGUGUGGUGUUAGAACAUACUUGUUUUUUGCCUCCUGAGUCUUCAUUCCUCCCAAUUGAAGCCGUGCAGCAUAACCAUACCCUCAAGUGGCUGAGCGUUUCGGAGAUGGUCAUGUAACCCAAUCAGAACCAAGGAGCCCCACAGAGACUUCAGUUGAGGAGUGCAGUAAAUUGCAGUGCCCUUGUUUUUCUGGUGUGAGGUAAGUACAUGAAGGCUAAAAACGUGCAACCAUUUUGCUCCUGCGAGAGGAAAGCCUGAAGGAAAUGGGCUUAAGGGACAGGCACCAGAGAGCCUGAAGAUGCAGUCAAUAUUGUCAAAUGCGUUCUGGAGAGAGAAGAACUGAAUGUGUGGUGGCAUCACUAGAGCUGCACUAUCAGACCUCACCUGUUUGGCCUACAGACUAAUAUCUACACUGUUUAGAAUGGUGUCAUACAUGCCCUAUGUUGUGUAAGCAGGCUUGUAUUGGGGGUUUUCUGUGUUUCAAAACUCUGAACGUCCUAAUUCUGUUGGAUUUCUCUACUUGACAUUGCAAGGUCCUGUCGAAUACAAAUUAAUACUUAAAAAUAAACUGUGGAAGAGACUUUCAGCUAUGGCUAUGUGACAUGGCCAACAAUUCCUCUACACAAGCGAUUUUCAACUGGUGUACUGCAAGAAUUUUUAAAACAUGCAAAAACUGACUAG